CCACCACUGAUAGAUGUGCGAGGGACCAUUUGAAUUACGUUAUUGACGGGGAACAUUGGUUUUUCAAAUUAAGUCGACAUCAGAACAUUACAACUACACAAUAUUAGAUGACAAUCAUGACAUUGAACGGUUGAAGCGUAUAAAGUUGGGCUUCCUUUGGGCAGCCACCGAGAGGAGCAAGAACUUCCGAGUUAUGCAGGCCUCAAGUCUCCCAUCAAGACAAAGGGGCCGAAAUUAGCAGGGCAGAACACCAAACUUGAUGCAGAAGGAAAGAAAUAAGGGUGACAAGUGUGAAAGAUGUUUAAAGGUAUGCUUCGUGCAAAAAUUAUUUAUGUAUCCACGCGCUUUCUUUCUGAUACAUAAGUUGGGAAUCUCUGGCCGCCUAAAUCUUCUGCGCGAGAAGCUGGAUCAGAAGUAGAGGGCGAUGGUUCAACAGUGGUUGGUUCCAAACUUUUAUUUAGGAUGCAGCCCUGAAUAUGGGAAAAAAGCCACGGCUCCUCGAUCGGAAAUCAGCCGCUUUAGCCUCAUGUCAUUACCAAAUUCAGGUUGUUCCUUAGCAGCACAAUUCUUUUGUGUCGCCAAAUCUACUGCUCCCCACCAAUUAAUGGCUUAAUUUUCACAAAAAUAUAAGGCUGCCUGAUCACGUCGUUCUACACAUACAGAGGGGCUGAGAUAAAUUCAUGGACAACCUUCGCCAUCAUCAUCAAAAGGAGCUAGCCAGUUAAAUUCCCUCCAGUUAACUUCUCCUAGAAGCUCUGCUUUGCUUCUCUUUCCUUUUUGCAACAGGGAAUUGUAAUUAUUCAUCUUCUCAUUUCUUCAAUAAGUGCCACAAUAUUUCGGGGAGCAAGAUUGGCUCCUCUUGAACUCUUCACAGAAAAUGAUGACACUGAUCGUUGGGAACCCAAUCCUUUCCUUACAAUUACUAACUAAAAUCUCGAUUAAGGGCAAGACUGAACCGGGAAUCCAAAACAGUUGGACAUAAUUUUCUCAACAUGAGUAGCGGCAAUUUUAUCAAUCACAGAUCAGCUUAAGGCUUAUUAAUAUCUGAUAGAAUGGUAAUAACAUCAUGUUCUGUAUUUUACGUUUCGGUAUGCUCUUUCUUUCUUGUUUUGGUAAUUGAUUCGCGUGGUAGAAAGGCCUCUUCUUCUCAAUUGAAAAGAAAACAAAACUUGGGAAAAGAAUUGAGGACAGAAUUGUGAGUCCAUGGCACUGUCUGAACAGCUAAGGUUCCGUCUGCACAGCUCUGGCUCCUUCUACACUCUGAGACCAUGCAAUUAUUGUCCUAUGGCAUCUUCCAAACAACUCACAUGGAGUCUACGUUGUUUAGUUGUCCAUUACAUAUCGUGUCCAAUUAUUGCAUGCGAUGAGUGCGUUCAUGAUGUCUAUAAGUCAAUAAAAUACAGACGGCAUACAAAUCA